UCCACGCCGUAAACUAUGGAUGCUAGCUGUUAUGGGUAUCGACCCCCGUAGUAGCGAAGCUAACGCGUUAAGCAUCCCGCCUGGGGAGUACGGUCGCAAGAUUAAAAACCUCAAAGGAAUUGACGGGGACCCGCACAAGCGGUGGAGCGUGUUGUUUAAUUGGAUGAUAAGCCAAGAACCUUACCAAGGUUUGACAUCCCGAGAAUUUCUACGAAAGUAGAGAGUGC
rnacentral:rRNA from 1 species